UACGGAGGGUGCGAGCGUUGUCCGGAAUUAUUGGGCGUAAAGAGCUCGUAGGCGGUCCGUCACGUCGGGUGUGAAAAUCCAGGGCUCAACCCUGGACCUGCAUCCGAUACGGGCGGACUAGAGUUCGGUAGGGGAGACUGGAAUUCCUGGUGUAGCGGUGAAAUGCGCAGAUAUCAGGAGGAACACCGGUGGCGAAGGCGGGUCUCUGGGCCGAUACUGACGCUGAGGAGCGAAAGCGUGGGGAGCGAACAGG
rnacentral:rRNA from 1 species